CAGUCGCCGCGGGAAUACGGAGGGGGCUAGCGUUGUUCGGAAUUACUGGGCGUAAAGCGCACGUAGGCGGCUUUGUAAGUUAGAGGUGAAAGCCUGGGGCUCAACCCCAGAAUUGCCUUUAAGACUGCAGAGCUAGUAGGUGAGAGAGGUGAGUGGAAUUCCGAGUGUAGAGGUGAAAUUCGUAGAUAUUCGGAAGAACUCCAGUGGCGUAGGAGGCUCACUGGCUCAUUCUAGACGCUGAGGUGCGAAAGCGUGGGGAGCAAACAGGAUUAGAUACCCGUGUAGUCCCUGUCUCUUAUAC
rnacentral:rRNA from 1 species